rnacentral:rRNA from 1 species
UGGGGAAUUUUGGACAAUGGGGGAAACCCUGAUCCAGCCAUCCCGCGUGUGCGAUGAAGGCCUUCGGGUUGUAAAGCACUUUUGGCAGGAAAGAAACGUCAUGGGUUAAUACCCCGUGAAACUGACGGUACCUGCAGAAUAAGCACCGGCUAACUACGUGCCAGCAGCCGCGGUAAUACGUAGGGUGCAAGCGUUAAUCGGAAUUACUGGGCGUAAAGCGUGCGCAGGCGGUUCGGAAAGAAAGAUGUGAAAUCCCAGAGCUCAACUUUGGAACUGCAUUUUUAACUACCGGGCUAGAGUGUGUCAGAGGGAGGUGGAAUUCCGCGUGUAGCAGUGAAAUGCGUAGAUAUGCGGAGGAACCCCGAUGGCGAAGGCAGCCUCCUGGGAUAACACUGACGCUCAUGCACGAAAGCGUGGGGAGCAAACAGG